rnacentral:rRNA from 1 species
GACGAACGCUGGCGGCGUGCCUAAUACAUGCAAGUAGAACGCUGACUACUUUAGCUUGCUAGAGUAGAAGGAGUUGCGAACGGGUGAGUAACGCGUAGGUAACCUGCCUACUAGCGGGGGAUAACUAUUGGAAACGAUAGCUAAUACCGCAUAACAGUGUUUAACACAUGUUAGAUGCUUGAAAGAUGCAAUUGCAUCACUAGUAGAUGGACCUGCGUUGUAUUAGCUAGUUGGUGGGGUAACGGCCCACCAAGGCGACGAUACAUAGCCGACCUGAGAGGGUGAUCGGCCAUACUGGGACUGAGACACGGCCCAGACUCCUACGGGAGGCAGCAGUAGGGAAUCUUCGGCAAUGGGGGCAACCCUGACCGAGCAACGCCGCGUGAGUGAAGAAGGUUUUCGGAUCGUAAAGCUCUGUUGUAAGAGAAGAACGUGUGUGAGAGUGGAAAGUUCACACAGUGACGGUAACUUACCAGAAAGGGACGGCUAACUACGUGCCAGCCGCCGCGGUAA